rnacentral:rRNA from 1 species
UACGAAGGGGGCUAGCGUUGCUCGGAAUCACUGGGCGUAAAGGGUGCGUAGGCGGGUCUUUAAGUCAGGGGGUGAAAUCCUGGAGCUCAACUCCAGAACUGCCUUUGAUACUGAAGAUCUUGAGUUCGGGAGAGGUGAGUGGAACUGCGAGUGUAGAGGUGAAAUUCGUAGAUAUUCGCAAGAACACCAGUGGCGAAGGCGGCUCACUGGCCCGAUACUGACGCUGAGGCACGGAAAGCGUGGGGAGCCAAACAGGA